UAUGCGCAAUUUUUGACCCUACACUGUGGUUUGAUGUUAUACCUAUGCAGGCCCACCUGGGCUUCCACAGGGAAGACAUUGAUUCCCUCUGUCCCGUCCCCAUCCUACUCCCAAAUAUAUGCACCCACAGCCUCUUACACAGCACCGACCAGUUGUGCAGGGUGAGGCCCUUCAGCCUGCUAACCCAACUGCCACUGCCUUUGCACUGAAUGCUGGCCGAGUACUUUGGUGCUCAGGGAGUUAGUUCCACCUCAGGGUCAAGAGCAGCUGAACGGGGAUUUUAUGAAAGCACCUUUUGACUUGGACAGUGGGAAAUAUUUAAAAACCAAAAGCCACAAAGGGACUUGGUUCUUACUUGUUUUCUCAAAAGGUAUUGGGAAGAUCACAUGGGAGGAUAUGGAGUCUGUUCUUUGAGGCGGGGGUGACAGGGUGAUGGACCUUGUAUGACUAUCUAAACUAAAGUAAUCUUCUAAUUCUGCAAUCAUUCUCAUUGGAUCUCUUUUCAAAUCUAUUCCUUUUUCCUCUUCUCCUAGGAAUUCUACGGAUUUGUUUCCUCACCGCGUGUUACGGUGUAACCUGUUAGGCACUCUAUACAAAUGGGUUUUGGUGUACGCACUGGGGAGCUUCCAGGGGCAGAGGAAUGGAACGCUUUGCAGCACAGAAGACUGGUAAACUGCAGCAUUCUUUGCAAACUGUUCAGCAGUCAUUAAUGAGAAAGAAAAAAGAAAAAGGAACAUUGAUUGAAAAACAGAACAGAUGACUAAGCAGAAACCUAACGCCUCCCUAGUUUUUACUCUGAGUGUUAUAUCGAGCUCCAGUUCUCCCAAGCUUGGAUUGUCAAGGAGUGGGAACUGAAGCUCGGAACCCCUCGAGCUAACCUCUGCUCGUACAAGAUUUAAAAGAAACAACGGUCAGAAAGCAAACAGUGAAAGUUUGAGUUGAACUAACCAAGUCCUCCUUAACAAAUUUUUGUGGCUUUGACCCCAAAAAAUGAAACUAAACCAGAAGUAGUCAAAAGUUUAAGAGAAUGAUAAAAGAACUAAGUAAAGGUAUUUUAAAAGCUCCCUUUUAAAUUACUGGGAUAAACUUUAGCACAACUGCUCCUGCUUUACCAGAAAAUGAAUAAUAACAAUAACCUCCAGUCAGACCUCCUUAUCCUGCCAAGGUUUCUACUUUGUUGUAGCCCCUAAAUGCUGGUUUGAAUUUAAGAGCUUAAUUUUUUUUUUUUUUAAAUCACCAUGGAAAGCAUUCCAUUCUUCAGCACUUUUGUAUGUGUAACAGUUUUUGUGUAUUUGUUUUCUUUUGUUCCUUUCUAAUGAAUUUGGUAUUUAAAAAGGGUCAGAGCUGGAGCUAGUACUGCUCAGGAAGAGUCUGUCAUCUGCAAUUAAAUAAUUUAUAUCAAAAUUUUCCAAGCUGGACAUGGCAAUUUCCUCAUACUAUUUAAUAGAAGAUAUGUGGCUAAAUCUCCUUUACUGUUCUAAAAGUCCCAAAUUAAUCUUUUCUGCAGAAUCUAGACCUCCCAUAUACAUUUGCAGUUUUAAGCUGUCCUCUUUUGAAGCUUUGCUUAGACUCCAGAAAAUACCAUGGAAAUACCUCAGCGUUUCAGUGAGACUGCAGUUUAGCAGCAGCGACUGUCAAGUUGGAAGAGCAGCACGAGAGGCAGUAACUGCAGCUGGCGUAGCGUUUUAAGGAGCAGGCUGUGGACUGAUACCAACUCGAAAAGAGCAAUGCUUAUACAGAAAAAAACGCAUUGUGCCAGCAGUAACCCUUACUGAUGUGGUUGCAUCUGAAUGAGACUUUCAGCUGUCUUUGUACUAUUUCUCUAUCUUUUUGAGCUUUCGUGGAAGGGACAAACCCUGGGUAUUUGAGGCUGGUUUGUUGACAUGAUGAGAAACGUUGACACUGUAAAUUCACAGGAACUGGGAGGAGAGAAAAAAGGCAAAAUUUGAGUAAUUCUCAGUCCAAAGGCAAGCUUUCUCCAACCCUGUUUAGAGUACGCCUGCCAACUACUCAAGGCCUACGCUUCUUACUGUAAGGGGUACAUACUCUGUGCCCCCAAACAAACUGUUUUUCCCUCUACACUCAGAAGCUCUACACGGAGAAAAAGACAACGCAGCAUUACGAAUCCUGGAGAAAAAUUAUGGACCCUUAGAGCCGGGGAACAGACUCCUUUGAGUCACACAACUAUACCGCACAGUUAAUGUACCUUAGCUCCCAGGUGCCGCCAUACGACAGAGCUCUGCGGUCCUCUGCCAGAACCCCUCGCACCGGCUGAGAGCCCUCGACCUCUUCCAAGCGCUGGCUCUGGUGCUCGUCUGAUGGAACGAAGUGCCAAUUGAGAUUGGUGAGCUGACCAAAAAUAACCCUGCCAAAAAAAAAAAAAAAAAAAAAAAAAAAGGUGAGCGGUUUCUGUCAGGUGAGAAUUGGCUCACCAAUUCUAGUCUGAGAGACAGAGGUGAUUCAAGAGAAGGGACAAAGCUGUGUGGCUGCAGGCAGGGCUGGAGGGACUCGGUUGGGAUCGAUGGAGAAUGGCUGGACUGCUCCUUCUAGCAGUGGCAAACUGCUAGUAAUCCUCAGAUGUACUGUGCAGCCCAUCUUUUCCUGCCUGUGAGGACUUCUGUCUUCUGCUUCCCGAGACAAGUGAAGCAUCGCCUCUCCCGAGACCAGCAAAUGCUUCCAAUGCAGUACUCGGCAAAUAGCAACUCACAAAAGAGUGACCUGAUGAAAAAAUUAUUGUGUAACUGAACAUGUAAAUGAAAGGGUUGGUCCCUCAAGUGCGCUCAGAGUAAUAAGCACAAGGAGACCAGACAAAUCAGAACCAAAUGGAAUGAAGACAUCCUAACUGCUUAAGUAUGCUUGCUUAUAAAUGACAAUGGAGACUCGCUAGCCAGAACCUGCUGUACCAGAAGACUAGUUUAGCUGAAUACUAGCCUCCUACUGCUUGGAGUGAUUGCCACCAGAAGGAGUUCUGUGCUGUGUUUUAAAGUUAUUGUUUCUUUGCCUUGUCCUAUGCCAAAAUACUUU